rnacentral:rRNA from 1 species
GGGUCAGUAGGUUGGUCGUGCCACCGGUACGUACUGGUCUCACUGAUUCCUCCUUCCUGAAGAACCGUAAUGCCAUUAAUUUGGUGUUGCGGGGAAACAGGACUGUCACUUUGAAAAAAUUAGAGUGUUUAAAGCAAGCUAACGCUUGAAUACAUUAGCAUGGGAUAAUGAAAUAGGACGAUCGAUCCUAUUUUGCUGGUUUCUAGGAUCGACGUA